rnacentral:rRNA from 1 species
AUUGAACGCUGGCGGCAUGCCUUACACAUGCAAGUCGAACGGUAACAGGUCUUCGGAUGCUGACGAGUGGCGCACGGGUGAGUAAUACAUCGGAACGUGCCCGAUCGUGGGGGAUAACGAGGCGAAAGCUUUGCUAAUACCGCAUACGAUCUACGGAUGAAAGCGGGGGAUCUUCGGACCUCGCGCGGACGGAGCGGCCGCUGGCAGCUUAGGUAGUUGGUGGGAUAAAAGCUUACCAAGCCGACGAUCUGUAGCUGGUCUGAGUGGAUGAUCAGCCACACUGGGACUGAGACACGGCCCAGACUCCUACGGGAGGCAGCAGUGGGGAAUUUUGGACAAUGGGCGAAAGCCUGAUCCAGCCAUGCCGCGUGCAGGAUGAAGGCCUUCGGGUUGUAAACUGCUUUUGUACGGAACGAAAAGCCUCUUUCUAAUAAAGAGGGGUCACGACGGUACCGGAAGAAUAAGCACCGGCUAACUACGUG